AUUGAACGCUGGCGGCAGGCUUAACACAUGCAAGUCGAGCGGAAACGAUGUAGCUUGCUACAGGCGUCGAGCGGCGGACGGGUGAGUAACGCGUAGGAAUCUGCCUAGUAGUGGGGGACAACAUGUGGAAACGCAUGCUAAUACCGCAUACGCCCUACGGGGGAAAGGAGGGGAUCUUCGGACCUUUCGCUAUUAGAUGAGCCUGCGUAAGAUUAGCUAGUUGGUAGGGUAAAGGCCUACCAAGGCGACGAUCUUUAACUGGUCUGAGAGGAUGGCCAGUCACACUGGGACUGAGACACGGCCCAGACUCCUACGGGAGGCAGCAGUGGGGAAUAUUGGACAAUGGGCGCAAGCCUGAUCCAGCCAUGCCGCGUGUGUGAAGAAGGCCUUAGGGUUGUAAAGCACUUUCAGGGGUGAGGAAGGGUGUUUGGUUAAUAUCCAAACAUUUUGACGUUAGCCCCAGAAGAAGCACCGGCUAACUCUGUG
rnacentral:rRNA from 1 species